rnacentral:rRNA from 1 species
GGUUAAGCGACUAAGCGUACACGGUGGAUGCCCUGGCAGUCAGAGGCGAUGAAGGACGUGCUAAUCUGCGAUAAGCGUCGGUAAGGUGAUAUGAACCGUUAUAACCGGCGAUUUCCGAAUGGGGAAACCCAGUGUGAUCCGUCACACUAUCAUUACGUGAAUACAUAGCGUAAUGAAGCGAACCGGGGAACUGAAACAUCUAAGUACCCCGAGGAAAAGAAAUCAACCGAGAUUCCCCCAGUAGCGGCGAGCGAACGGGGAGCAGCCCAGAGUCUGAAUCAGCUUGUGUGUUAGUGGAACGGUCUGGAAAGUCCGACGGUACAGGGUGAUAGUCCCGUACACCAAAAUGCACAGGUUGUGAACUCGAAGAGUAGGGCGGGACACGUGGUAUCCUGUCUGAAUAUGGGGGGACCAUCCUCCAAGGCUAAAUACUCCUGACUGACCGAUAGUGAACCAGUACCGUGAGGGAAAGGCGAAAAGAACCCCGGCGAGGGGAGUGAAAAAGAACCUGAAACCGUGUACGUACAAGCAGUGGGAGCCUACUUGUUAGGUGACUGCGUACCUUUUGUAUAAUGGGUCAGCGACUUAUAUUCUGUAGCAAGGUUAACCGUAUAGGGGAGCCGAAGGGAAACCGAGUCUUAACUGGGCGUUAAGUUGCAGGGUAUAGACCCGAAACCCGGUGAUCUAGCCAUGGGCAGGUUGAAGGUUGGGUAACACUAACUGGAGGACCGAACCGACUAAUGUUGAAAAAUUAGCGGAUGACUUGUGGCUGGGGGUGAAAGGCCAAUCAAACCGGGAGAUAGCUGGUUCUCCCCGAAAGCUAUUUAGGUAGCGCCUCGUGAACUCAUCUUCGGGGGUAGAGCACUGUUUCGGCUAGGGGUCAUCCCGACUUACCAACCCGAUGCAAACUGCGAAUACCGAAGAAUGUUAUCACGGGAGACACACGGCGGGUGCUAACGUCCGUCGUGAAGAGGGAAACAACCCAGACCGCCAGCUAAGGUCCCAAAGUCAUGGUUAAGUGGGAAACGAUGUGGGAAGGCACAGACAGCCAGGAUGUUGGCUUAGAAGCAGCCAUCAUUUAAAGAAAGCGUAAUAGCUCACUGGUCGAGUCGGCCUGCGCGGAAGAUGUAACGGGGCUAAACCAUGCACCGAAGCUGCGGCAGCGACACUAUGUGUUGUUGGGUAGGGGAGCGUUCUGUAAGCCGUUGAAGGUGUAUCGUGAGGUAUGCUGGAGGUAUCAGAAGUGCGAAUGCUGACAUAAGUAACGAUAAUGCGGGUGAAAAACCCGCACGCCGGAAGACCAAGGGUUCCUGUCCAACGUUAAUCGGGGCAGGGUGAGUCGACCCCUAAGGCGAGGCCGAAAGGCGUAGUCGAUGGGAAACAGGUUAAUAUUCCUGUACUUGGUGUUACUGCGAAGGGGGACGGAGAAGGCUAUGUUAGCCGGGCGACGGUUGUCCCGGUUUAAGCAUGUAGGCGGAGGUUCCAGGUAAAUCCGGUACCUUUUAACGCUGAGGUGUGAUGACGAGGCACUACGGUGCUGAAGUAACAAAUGCCCUGCUUCCAGGAAAAGCCUCUAAGCAUCAGGUAACACGAAAUCGUACCCCAAACCGACACAGGUGGUCAGGUAGAGAAUACCAAGGCGCUUGAGAGAACUCGGGUGAAGGAACUAGGCAAAAUGGUGCCGUAACUUCGGGAGAAGGCACGCUGAUAUGUAGGUGAAGUGAUUUACUCAUGGAGCUGAAAUCAGUCGAAGAUACCAGCUGGCUGCAACUGUUUAUUAAAAACACAGCACUGUGCAAACACGAAAGUGGACGUAUACGGUGUGACGCCUGCCCGGUGCCGGAAGGUUAAUUGAUGGGGUUAUCCGUAAGGAGAAGCUCUUGAUCGAAGCCCCGGUAAACGGCGGCCGUAACUAUAACGGUCCUAAGGUAGCGAAAUUCCUUGUCGGGUAAGUUCCGACCUGCACGAAUGGCGUAAUGAUGGCCAGGCUGUCUCCACCCGAGACUCAGUGAAAUUGAACUCGCUGUGAAGAUGCAGUGUACCCGCGGCAAGACGGAAAGACCCCGUGAACCUUUACUAUAGCUUGACACUGAACACUGGUCCUUGAUGUGUAGGAUAGGUGGGAGGCUUUGAAGUGUGGACGCCAGUCUGCAUGGAGCCAUCCUUGAAAUACCACCCUUUAAUGGCUGGUGUUCUAACGUGGACCCGUAAUCCGGGUUGCGGACAGUGUCUGGUGGGUAGUUUGACUGGGGCGGUCUCCUCCUAAAGAGUAACGGAGGAGCACGAAGGUUAGCUAAUCCUGGUCGGACAUCAGGAGGUUAGUGCAAAGGCAUAAGCUAGCUUGACUGCGAGAGUGACGGCUCGAGCAGGUGCGAAAGCAGGUCUUAGUGAUCCGGUGGUUCUGAAUGGAAGGGCCAUCGCUCAACGGAUAAAAGGUACUCCGGGGAUAACAGGCUGAUACCGCCCAAGAGUUCAUAUCGACGGCGGUGUUUGGCACCUCGAUGUCGGCUCAUCACAUCCUGGGGCUGAAGUAGGUCCCAAGGGUAUGGCUGUUCGCCAUUUAAAGUGGUACGCGAGCUGGGUUUAGAACGUCGUGAGACAGUUCGGUCCCUAUCUGCCGUGGGCGCUGGAGAAUUGAGGGGGCUGCUCCUAGUACGAGAGGACCGGAGUGGACGCAUCACUGGUGUUCGGGUUGUCAUGCCAAUGGCAUUGCCCGGUAGCUAAAUGCGGAAGAGAUAAGUGCUGAAAGCAUCUAAGCACGAAACUUGCCCCGAGAUGAGUUCUCCCUGAGACUUUAAGUCUCCUGAAGGAACGUUAAAGACGAUGACGUUGAUAGGUCGGGUGUGUAAGUGUAGCGAUACAUUGAGCUAACCGAUACUAAUGAACCGUGAGGCUUAACCUU